rnacentral:rRNA from 1 species
AUGUACUCCUCCUGUGUUGCCGUGUCCGCUUGCCGAUGCCGCUGCCAGGCACAACCACUCAAGGGCAAGGAUAAGUGGAUCGAGCUCAAGGAGUCGUGGGGAGCCGUGUGGAGGUUCGACACCCCUGACAAGCUCAUCGGCCCCUUCACCGUCCGCUACACCACCGAGGGUGGCACCAAGACCGUCGCCGAGAACGUCAUCCCCGAGGGCUGGAAGGCCAACACCUCCUACGAGACCAAGGGCGGGUACUGA